rnacentral:rRNA from 1 species
GACGAACGCUGGCGGCGUGCUUAACACAUGCAAGUCGAACGGAAAGGCCCUGCUUUUGUGGGGUGCUCGAGGGGCGAACGGGUGAGUAACACGUGAGUAACCUGCCCUUGACUUUGGGAUAACUUCAGGAAACUGGGGCUAAUACCGGAUAGGAGCUCCUGCUGCAGGGUGGGGGUUGGAAAGUUUCGGCGGUUGGGGUUGGACUCGCGGUUUAUCAGCUUGUUGGUGGGGGAGUGGCUUACCAAGGAUUUGGCGGGUAGCCGGCCUGGGAGGGUGACCGGCACCAUGGGACUGGGGGAGGGGCCAGACUCCUACGGGAGGCAGCAGUGGGGAAUAUUGCACAAUGGGCGGAAGCCUGAUGCAGCAACGCCGCGUGCGGGAUGACGGCCUUCGGGUUGUAAACCGCUUUCGCCUGUGACGAAGCGUGAGUGACGGUAAUGGGUAAAGAAGCACCGGCUAACUACGUG